GGGGCUGAUUCUGGAUUCGACGGGAUUUGCGAAACCCAAGGUGCAUGCCGAGGGGCGGUUGGCCUCGUAAAAAGCCGCAAAAAAUAGUCGCAAACGACGAAAACUACGCUUUAGCAGCUUAAUAACCUGCUUAGAGCCCUCUCUCCCUAGCCUCCGCUCUUAGGACGGGGAUCAAGAGAGGUCAAACCCAAAAGAGAUCGCGUGGAUGCCCUGCCUGGGGUUGAAGCGUUAAAACGAAUCAGGCUAGUCUGGUAGUGGCGUGUCCGUCCGCAGGUGCCAGGCGAAUGUAAAGACAGACUAAGCAUGUAGUACCGAGGAUGUAGGAAUUUCGGACGCGGGUUCAACUCCCGCCAGCUCCACCA
rnacentral:tmRNA from 1 species